AGUGAACGCUGGCGGUAGGCCUAACACAUGCAAGUCGAGCGGCAGCACAGUAAGAGCUUGCUCUUACGGGUGGCGAGUGGCGGACGGGUGAGGAAUACAUCGGAAUCUACUUUUUCGUGGGGGAUAACGUAGGGAAACUUAUGCUAAUACCGCAUACGACCUACGGGUGAAAGCAGGGGAUCUUCGGACCUUGCGCGAUUGAAUGAGCCGAUGUCGGAUUAGCUAGUUGGCGGGGUAAAGGCCCACCAAGGCGACGAUCCGUAGCUGGUCUGAGAGGAUGAUCAGCCACACUGGAACUGAGACACGGUCCAGACUCCUACGGGAGGCAGCAGUGGGGAAUAUUGGACAAUGGGCGCAAGCCUGAUCCAGCCAUACCGCGUGGGUGAAGAAGGCCUUCGGGUUGUAAAGCCCUUUUGUUGGGAAAGAAAAGCAGCAGGUUAAUACCCCGCUGUUCUGACGGUACCCAAAGAAUAAGCACCGGCUAACUUCGUG
rnacentral:rRNA from 1 species